rnacentral:lncRNA from 1 species
GGUAGGAUUCUGAAGAAGUGUUGGAACUCCGUGGGCAAAGGCAAGUGGAGACAUCAUGAUUGGCUAAGACAUCAGCCAUGGGGCUUGAGCAAGGUGGAGACGCCCGCCUGCUGAGAAUUUGCCCUACUCCAGCAGAAUGUCCCAAAACUCCUCCACCUCCUACAAACCCAGCUCUUUAUUCCUUCUGCAGUGGUUUCCCUCAGACCUCAAGGCUGGCUGGAGGCCCAGGACCCCAGGACCCCGCUGCUUCCUAAAGCUAGUUCUGUAUAUACCACACUCGUCUACAAGGGAGGAAAGCUGUCGAUGCUCCAGAAGCUCCAGAUUGACAGACUCAUAGAGCGUUGCCUCAGCUGUGGCUCCAUCCGUCCUUCCCAGAACCUCCUCCAAGGCCCAGAAUGUCUCAGGUGCACCCAGAGUGUCAGUCCAGGCCUGGAAGAAGGAUAGCUUGCCUCUGGCAGACCAUCACUAUUUACACCUCACCUUACUCCAACAUGGACUUAGAGAAUCUCCAAAAACAACGCCAGUACAGCAGGAUCCAGGCUGUGGCAGGCGUGUGUUCAGAUGCACCUGCCAGACAGCAGGAAGCCUCGACAGCUUAUGGCAACAUCCAGCUCCAUCUCUCACCCGGUGGCAGCCACCUGCAGGAGGUAAAUCUCCUAGGAAGAAACUAAGUCUCGAUUGCAAGUUUCAAGUCUUAAACCUCCAAACUCCAAGUGAGGAAAGGAACUAAAACAACCUCUGAUGUUGAUAUCUGCAUUUCAGAUUUAAACGUGUUUACGUUUUGAAAGUAUUUCUUCAUGAAGCAUAAUUGUUGGUCGUGAACAGUGCCUAGAAUGGAGAUGGUUUCUCGGUUCCGUAAAAGCUUACUGACUGUUCAGGAAAGAACAAGGCAAAGCUGACCUCCAUCCAUGAAGUUCGUGAGGUAGAUUUAUCAAGUUUCAGUCCAACAUCC